rnacentral:rRNA from 1 species
AUUGAACGCUGGCGGCAGGCCUAACACAUGCAAGUCGAACGAGUGGCGGACGGGUGAGUAAUGUCUGGGAAACUGCCCGAUGGAGGGGGAUAACUACUGGAAACGGUAGCUAAUACCGCAUACCAUCGGAUGUGCCCAGAUGGGAUUAGCUAGUAGGUGGGGUAAUGGCUCACCUAGGCGACGAUCCCUAGCUGGUCUGAGAGGAUGACCAGCCACACUGGAACUGAGAAACGGUCCAUACUCCUACGUGUGGCAGCAGUUGUGAAGAUUGCACAAUGGGCGCAAGCCGGAUGCAUCUAGGCCGCGUGUAUGAAGAAGGUCUUCGGGUUUUAAAUUACUUUCAGUGGGUAGGCGUUACCGGCAGAAGAAGCAUCGGCUAACUCCGUGCCAGCAGACGCGGUAAUAC